rnacentral:rRNA from 1 species
GAUGAACGCUGGCGGCGUGCCUAAUACAUGCAAGUCGAGCGAACAGACGAGGAGCUUGCUCCUCUGCCGUUAGCGGCGGACGGGUGAGUAACACGUGGAUAACCUACCUAUAAGACUGGGAUAACUUCGGGAAACCUGAUCUAAUAUCGGAUCAUAUAUUGAACCGCAUGGUUCAUUAGAGAAAAACGGUUUUGCUGUCACUUAUAGAUGGAUCCCGGCCGCAUUAGCUAGUUGGUAAGGUAACGGCUUACCAAGGCUACGAUGCGUAGCCGACCUGAGAGGGUGAUCAGCCACACUGGAACUGAGACACGGUCCAGACUCCUACGGGAGGCAGCAGUAGGGAAUAUUCCGCAAUGGGCGAAAGCCUGACGGAGCAACGCCGCGUGAGUGAUGAAGGUCUUCGGAUCGUAAAACUCUGUUAUUAGGGAAGAACAAAUGUGUAAGUAACUAUGCACGUCUUGACGGUACCUAAUCAGAAAGCCACGGCUAACUACGUG